rnacentral:rRNA from 1 species
AGUGGCGGACGGGUGAGUAACGCGUGAGGAACCUGCCUUUCGGAGGGGAAUAACACAUCGAAAGAUGUGCUAAUACCGCAUAACGUCAUUGGGUGGCAUCAUCCGAUGACCAAAAGAGCAAUCUGCCGAAAGAUGGCCUCGCGUCCGAUUAGAUAGUUGGUGAGGUAACGGCCCACCAAGUCUGCGAUCGGUAGCCGGACUGAGAGGUUGAACGGCCACAUUGGGACUGAGACACGGCCCAGACUCCUACGGGAGGCAGCAGUGGGGGAUAUUAGUCAAUGGAGGAAACUCUGAACUAGCGACGCCGCGUGAGGGAAGAAGGUCUUCGGAUUGUAAACCUCUGUCUUCGGGGAAGAUAAUGACGGUACCCGAGGAGGAAGCUCCGGCUAACUACGUGCCAGCAGCCGCGGUAAUACGUAGGGAGCAAGCGUUAUCCGGAUUUAUUGGGUGUAAAGGGUGCGUAGGCGGGAAGGUAAGUUGAAUGUGAAAUACCGGGGCUCAACUCCGGGGCUGCGUUCAAAACUGCUUUUCUUGAGUACAGCAGAGGCAAGCGGAAUUCCCAGUGUAGCGGUAAUAUGCGUAGAUAUUGGGAGGAACACCGGUGGCGAAGGCGGCUUGCUGGGCUGCAACUGACGCUGAAGCACGAAAGUGUGGGGAGCAAACAGGAUUAGAUACCCUGGUAGUCCACACUGUAAACGAUGAUUACUAGGUGUGGGGAGAUUGACCCUCUCCGUGCCGCAGUUAACACAAUAA